rnacentral:rRNA from 1 species
AUUGAACGCUGGCGGCAUGCCUUACACAUGCAAGUCGAACGGUAACAGGUCUUCGGAUGCUGACGAGUGGCGAACGGGUGAGUAAUAGAUCGGAACGUGCCUAGUAGUGGGGGAUAACUACUCGAAAGAGUGGCUAAUACCGCAUGAGAUCUACGGAUGAAAGCACGGGAUCGCAAGACCUUGUGCUACAAGAGGGGCCGAUGGCAGAUUAGGUAGUUGGUGGGAUAAAAGCUUACCAAGCCGACGAUAUGUAGCUGGUCUGAGAGGACGAUGAGCCACUCUGGGACUGAGACACGGCCAAGACUCGUACGGGAGGCAGCCGUGGGGAAUUUUGGACAAUGGGCGCAAGCCUGAUCCAGCAAUGCCGAGUGCAGGAUGAAGGCCUUCGGGUUGUAAACUGAUUUUGUACGGAACGAAAAGCCCUGGGUUAAUACCCUGGGGUCAUGACGGUACCGUAAGAAUAAGCACCGGCUAACUACGUGCCAGCAGCCGCCGUAACAC